ACUAUUUUGGCAGAAAAAUUGUAAUGGUUUUAGAAGUCAUAUAUAUAUAUAUAUAUAUUAUAUAAAUAGUA
rnacentral:tRNA from 1 species